rnacentral:rRNA from 1 species
CCUACGGGUGGCAGCAGUGAGGAAUAUUGGUCAAUGGACGAGAGUCUGAACCAGCCAAGUAGCGUGAAGGAUGACUGCCCUAUGGGUUGUAAACUUCUUUUAUAAAGGAAUAAAACGAGGCACGUGUGCCUUUUUGCAUGUACUUUAUGAAUAAGGAUCGGCUAACUCCGUGCCAGCAGCCGCGGUAAUACGGAGGAUCCGAGCGUUAUCCGGAUUUAUUGGGUUUACAGGGAGCGUAGAUGGGUUUUUAAGUCAGUUGUGAAAGUUUGCGGCUUAACCGUAAAAUUGCAAUUGAUACUGGCAGUCUUGAGGGCAGUAGAGGUAAGUGGAAUUCGGGGUGUAGCGGUGAAAUGCUUAGAUAUCACGAAGAACCCCGAUGGCGAAGGCAGCUUACUAAACUGUGACUGACAUUGAGGCUCGAAAGUGUGGGUAGCAAACAGGAUUAGAUACCCCAGUAGUC